rnacentral:lncRNA from 1 species
AUCACGGAGAUAAUGAUGGUCUAUUAUGGGACCUGACAGCAAACAAUACAGGCUGAAGAAAAAAAAAAUUAUUUAGAGUUGGGAAGCCUUUUUUUUUCUUUUUAAGUUUAUUUAUUUUAGAGAGCGAGUGAGCGAGGGGUAGAGAGAAGGAGAGAGGGAGGGAGAGAGAAUCCCAUGCGGGCUCUGCACUGUCAGCCUGAAGUGGGCUGGAGCUCACCCGAAGCGGGGCUCAAACUCUCAAACUAUGAGGGCACAACCUGAGCUGAAGUUGGUCGCUUAACCGACUCAGCCACCCAGAUGCCCGGAGAACUCUGAUUCUUUGAGGCUGCACUUAUCUUGUGUCUCUGGAACAGAAGUUUCAGGCCCUUGAGUGGUUCACUGGAGUCUCUGUUGUCAUCUGGCACUGGUAGCGUCUCCUUCUGGGUCUCUGGUGCAGACGCCUUCUUUACCAUGGUGGAUCUAAGAAUAAGCUCAGAAGAAAGUCCUAUGUUUUCAGGUUAAGGGAGGAUAUUUGAAAAUGCUUUCCAUUUCUGGAGGUUAUAGCCCAACGGCCUCUCCUUCAGAAUAGAAUUCAUCCCUCCCAUAUUCUGGGAUUCUUUCUUAGGGUUUCCUCUUACCCUCCACAAAGUAAUUUAUAAUGGUUAGUGGUGACACAAAUGCCAUGCAACCUCACCCACAAUAUGUAUGAGACUCGGUUGACUUAAAACCAGGCUCACAAGGAGAGAAA